UGGGGAAUCUUGGACAAUGGGCGCAAGCCUGAUCCAGCCAUGCCGCGUGAGUGAUGAAGGCCCUAGGGUUGUAAAACUCUUUCGUGGGGGACGAUAAUGACGGUACCCCAAGAAGAAGCUCCGGCUAACUACGUGCCAGCAGCCGCGGUAAUACGUAGGGUGCAGGCGUUAAUCGGAAUUACUGGGCGUAAAGCGUGCGCAGGCGGUUUGUUAAGACAGGUGUGAAAUCCCCGGGCUUAACCUGGGAAUUGCGCUUGUAACUGGCAGGCUAGAGUGUGGCAGAGGGGGGUGGAAUUCCACGUGUAGCAGUGAAAUGCGUAGAUAUGUGGAGGAACACCGAUGGCGAAGGCAGCCCCCUGGGUUAACACUGACGCUCAUGCACGAAAGCGUGGGGAAGCAAACAGGAUUAGAUACCCCAGUAGUCCCUGAGCGGGCUGGCAAGGCGCAU
rnacentral:rRNA from 1 species